rnacentral:tRNA from 1 species
GCCGACUUAGCUCAGUUGGUAGAGCGUCUCAUUUGUAAUGAGAGGGUCGGGCGUUCGAAUCGUCUAGUCGGCA